UAUCCUAAUUGCUUGACCAAAGUAGAAGUUUGACAUUCAUGAGAAGGUGUGUUGUAUCGACUUGAUAUUUUGUCUUGUAUACAUUUGAAGUAUAUUCUGAAAGGGAGUCAUGCGUCAUGCAUGCACUGUGAGUGUGUGUUAUUGUGUGUGUGUGUGUACGUUUCUGUAUAUUCAAGUAUUAAGUAUUUAUGGUGUAAAUACCUGUAGCUCCAAUAUGCUCCUGAGCACAACAAGUAAAGACCAUGUAUUCUGGAGGAAGAAGUCAAAGGUUGGUCAGUGUUGCCUGUUCUUCAAGGCAGGAGUAGUAUUGUGUUCUUUAAGGCAGGAGUAGUAGUGUGUUCUUCAAGGCAGGAGUAGUAUUGUGUUCUUCAGGGCAGGAGUAGUAUUGUGUUCUUCAAGGCAGAAGUAGUAUUGUGUUCUUCAAGGCAGGAGUAGUAGUGUGUUCUUCAAGGCAGAAGUAGUAUUGUGUUCUUCAAGGCAGGAGUAGUAGUGUGUUCUUCAAGGCAGGAGUAGUAGUGUGUUCUCAUAUGGGUCAGAUUUAACACAAGUGUCUCACCAAGAAUUGCACUGGCAAGGUUUUUAUAACUGUUGAGAAAGAGCAAGAGCUUUUAGAGUGGUCUCAGGGUUAAGCUUCAAACCCCAUUGACUGGAGAAGAAUCCUCCCCGUUGGCAGGAAACCAGAAGCAUAGAGAGAGUGACAGUUAGUUAUUUGCUUUCCUCUUUUAUUGAACCACAUAGAGUAACACACUUUCGGGCCUGUACCUAAGCUUACUAAACUAAUGACAGAACAGUAGCUCUAUUUAAAACAUGUGAAUGUAAGACAGUUUCUGUAUCCCCAUCCCUAUAAUAAUGUCAAUAACAUACCAGCAACAAUGUCCUGGUCUGGGUGAAUACUGUUUGAUAGGAUGAUAUACACUUUGACUUGUGAUUUGUAUCUUGAUCAUGACAAUGUCAUCUGAUCGUGACGAUGUCUUAACUUAACCCAUCAAUAUAAUGUGUUGUACACUGUAUGGUACUCACUGUAUUUUCAACGACACUACCAUUGGGUGUUGUACAGUGUGUGGUACUCACUGUAUUUUCAACGACACUACCAUUGGGUGUUGUACAGUGUGUGGUACUCACUGUAUUUUCAACGACACUACCAUUGGGUGUUGUACACUGUGUGGUACUCACUGUAUUUUCAACGACACUACCAUUGGGUGUUGUACAGUGUGUGGUACUCACUGUAUUUUC
ensembl:lncRNA